rnacentral:rRNA from 1 species
GACGAACGCUGGCGGCGUGCUUAACACAUGCAAGUCGAACGGAAAGGCCCUGCUUUUGUGGGGUGCUCGAGUGGCGAACGGGUGAGUAACACGUGAGUAACCUGCCCUUGACUUUGGGAUAACUUCAGGAAACUGGGGCUAAUACCGGAUAGGAUCUCCUGCUGCAUGGUGGGGGUUGGAAAGUUUCGGCGGUUGGGGAUGGACUCGCGGCGUAUCAGCUUGUUGGGAGGGUAGAGGCUUACCAAGGCUUUGACGGGUAGCCGACCUGAGGGGGUGACCGGCCACACUGGAAGGGAGACACGGGCCAGGCUCCUACGGGAAGCAGCAGGAGCGAAGCGGCCGCAAUGGGCGGAAGCCUGACGGAGCAACGCCGCGUGAGACAUGAAGGGCGUCGGAUCGGAAAACUCUGUUAGUAGGGAAGAACAUAUGUGUAAGGAACGGUGCACAUCUUGACGGUACCUAAUCAGAAAGCCACGGCUAACUACGUG